AAAAAAUUUUCCUGAAAAAUUGAUGUAGCGAUAACCUGUGUGAUGCUAAUCAUUACUAUUAUUACUUUUGUUUUAGCCAUAGGGGAGACAUGGCAGGACAUCAAAUUGUCAGAGAAGGAGGGAGAAGGGCAGAGGAAUCAAGAGGCACCAAACAGACUCUGGGAACUUGAAGAAUUUACUUUUAUCUGAAAAGAGGACUUCGGCCCACUGAGCAACAGUCCAGUGUUUUUCUCCUUAGCCGAGUUCUGGAUCCACCUGUUCCUGCUGUUACCACACCGUCAUCAGUCUCUGGCUCCCGGUUGUCCUUCCAAAGGAGACAAGCAUACUCACCUGUGCCAUCCGUCCUCACCUGGCGUCUCUUCUCCACCACCUGUCGGUGCCAGAACCUGCAGCUGUGAACCGGUCCUGAGCAUCUGGUGUUUAUUAUAAUAAUAAUAAUAAUAAUAAUAAUAAUAAUGGACUAGAUUCAUAUAGCACUUUUCUAGGCACUCAAAGCGCUUCAGAAUGGCUCCAUUCUUCAUUCACUCACACAUUCUCACUCUGGUGGUGGUAAACUACAUUUGUAGCCACAGCUGCCCUGGGGCAGACUGACGGAAGCAUGGCUGCCAAUCUGCGCCUACGGCCCCUCCGACCACCACCAACAUUCACACGCGUUCAUACACCAGUGUAAGAGCAGCACUUGUUUAGUCGUGUGUAGUCCAGCCUCCCACUCCAGUUAGAGUAGGAUAAGUCUUGCUAGUGUUCAUAGUCUAAGUUUCAUAGUGUUAGUUUGGUUUUUGCCGAUUUAGUUUUGCGCUUUUCUUCUUACCUUGGUGUUACCAAAAGUGAGUUGAUGGUGCAUUGUUUCCCCAGGCCUCUAGGAGUAGCCGUGAGUUUAGUUUGAGUGUCUAGUUCCAUUUCCUGUAGUUCACUACGCCAUUUUUGUAGUCUUUCGUUCUGUAAAUAAACUUUGUGUUACAUUCAA